CUGUUAUUAGGGAAGAACAUAUGUGUAAGUAACUGUGCACAUCUUGACGGUACCUAAUCAGAAAGCCCCGGCUAACUCCGUGCCAGCAGCCGCGGUAAUACGUAGGUGGCAAGCGUUAUCCGGAAUUAUUGGGCGCAAAGCGCGCGUAGGCGGUUUUUUAAGUCUGAUGCGAAAGCCCACGGCUCAACCGUGGAGGGGCAUUGGAAACUGGAAAACUUGAGUGCAGAAGAGGAAAGUGGAAUUCCAUGUGUAGCGGUGAAAUGCGCAGAGAUAUGGAGGAACACCAGUGGGGAAGGCGACUUUCUGGUCUGUAACUGAGGCUGAUGUGCGAAAGCGUGGGGAUCAAACAGGAUUAGAUACCCUGGUAGUCCACGCCGUAAACGAUGAGUGCUAAGUGUUAGGGGGUUUCCGCCCCUUAGUGCUGCAGCU
rnacentral:rRNA from 1 species